AAACCAUGGUGGGGACAAAGUCUAAGCAUUUCUUUGAAACGCUCCCAAGCAUCAUAAAGAGACUCCCCAUCUUUUUUAUUGAACCUUGUGAUUUGGUCUCUCAAUUU
rnacentral:snoRNA from 2 species